CAGCAAAUCAUGCCCCGGCAGCUUCUAGCAGAGAUCUGGUAAAUAGCAGCAUCACUUCUGCUACAGCUAGGAUGAAGAGAACACAUAGAGCUGAUGGACUUCGGGAAAGUGAUUCAGUCAUGAGGGCACUAACCUCAUCGAUGGACCUAAACACUCAACAGCUCAUAGUGGAAUGGGCUGGUAUGAGUUGCAGGUCCCACUGAACAACUACUAGGAUCCCAGCCUCUGCUUUGCAACCUGUGACCCAGAACUGCUAGUCCUGCUCUUCCAUUUGUCUCUGCAGCACAGGAGUUGGGGACUUCUCGCCAGUGCUAAUCUCCAGGUGAACUUCACUGUUAUGGCUUGUAUCUAGAUGUCUCCCCCCACCCCCAAAGCCUCAUGCAGUCACAGACAAGGCUUUUCAGAGUUUCUAGAUCUAGGGUGUGUGAUGCUGGGAUUGAAGAUGUAAUGAUGGAAUUAAGCAUGUGA